rnacentral:rRNA from 1 species
AGUGAACGCUGGCGGUAGGCCUAACACAUGCAAGUCGAACGGCAGCACAGUAAGAGCUUGCUCUUACGGGUGGCGAGUGGCGGACGGGUGAGGAAUACAUCGGAAUCUACUUUUUCGUGGGGGAUAACGUAGGGAAACUUACGCUAAUACCGCAUACGACCUACGGGUGAAAGCAGGGGAUCUUCGGACCUUGCGCGAUUGAAUGAGCCGAUGUCGGAUUAGCUAGUUGGCGGGGUAAAGGCCCACCAAGGCGACGAUCCGUAGCUGGUCUGAGAGGCUGGUAGGCGACAUUGGAGCGGAGACGCGCACCAGGCGACUACGGGAGGCACCAGUGGGGAAUAUGAGGCAAUGGGCGCAAGCCUGAUCCAGCCAGACCGCGUGGGUGAAGAAAGCCUUCGGGUUGUAAAGCCGGUUUGUGGGGAAAGAAAAGCAGCAGGUUAAUACGCCGCUGUUGUGACGGUACCCAAAGAAUAAGCACCGGCUAACUUCGUG